UAAUACAGAGGGUGCGAGCGUUAAUCGGAGUUACUGGGCGUAAAGGGCGCGUAGGCGGUGAUGUGAGUGCGAUGUGAAAGCCCUGGGCUUAACCUGGGAAGUGCAUCGUAAACUGCAUUGCUGGAGUAUAUGAGAGGGUGGCGGAAUUUCCGGUGUAGCGGUGAAAUGCGUAGAGAUCGGAAGGAACGUCGAUGGCGAAGGCAGCCACCUGGCAUAAUACUGACGCUGAGGCGCGAAAGCGUGGGGAGCGAACAGGAUUAGAUACCCUGGUAGUCCACGCUGUAAACGAUGAGAACUAGAUGUUGCAUGGGGAACCAAGCAGUAUCGAAGCUAACGCGAUAAGUUCUCCGCCUGGGAAGUACGGCCGCAAGGUUG
rnacentral:rRNA from 1 species